AUCGGUGCUUACAGGUCUCUGCUUCUUUUCUCCAGGUUUCGAUAAUCUUCCUAUUGAUGUCCCUUAUGAUCACCCACCCAACUGACUGAGUUCACAGUCAGUGGUUAAAGAGAGCCCACUUCUGAAUUAACUGUAGAAAAGAAGUAAGGCCGCAGUAGUGCCAACACAGGGUAUUGUGCAUAGACCAGCAUGACAGCUCCAGUGCUGGUCGAGUCGUGCCUUUGAGGCUCUUCUGUUAGACAUUAGCAUUGAGGGCAAUAGAAGUGGACUCUAAUAGCAAUGUAUUUUUCUGCUGGCUGAGCAACUGCAGGUAGGAAGGAACACAUUCGUCAUCAUUCUCAGUCAAGAAACAAGACAGUUGGUCUCAGGUGAAAACUGCUGUACCACUCAGCACAGCACAGGCAAAUUAUGCACUGCUUUCCAGGCAGGGCCAUGAAAAAUGAGACACAAAUCCGGAAGACACUCCUGCAAAAGCAGCUCUGCUUUAAAAUCUGAAUGUAGAGACGGGGAUUUUUGUAAGCAGUUUGUUUCUAUCCCUGUGAGAUUUUUCCUGUUUAACUGCAGCUUCUUUAUUGUUACUGCUUCUAGUAGAUUUCCUCUCCACUGAGGGAGAUGAAGAGGAGAAGAUUUCUGAGGAAGCAAAGUCACUAGAAUCCAGAUUUGGACCCCAGUAUCAUAACACUGCCCUACAGAGCUACAGUGAGGAACAGCCUUUGAAUGAAUCCAGAUUUGGACCCCAGUAUCAUAACGUUGCCCUACAGAACUACAGCGAGGAGCAGCCUUUGAAUGUGUCGGUGAACGCUGAUUUGAUCCAAGGGAACACAGCUGAAGAAAUCAAAAAAGAAGAUAUUAAAGACAGUGCAAUUAUUGCUGUGUCAUCUACAGCUCUCGCCAUCUACCUAAUAUUUAUGCUUUCUUUAUGUGUGGUUCUUAGAAGACGCAGAAUACAAAACGGGAAUUCUUGGCAUACCUUUGGAUGCUCACGUGAACAGCAGAAAUCAGCAGAGGCUGGGACGAAUGCACAUGGCUCACAGAGGAGAUCCUCAGACUCAGAAACUGCACCUCUCAUUAACUCAAUUGAUGAGCUACUCACUGCGGUUGCAUCAAAUUCCAGUGAAACCUCCUUGGCUAAAGACUCAAAUUAAAAGUGAAACUGAAUGUAAUCUCAGUGCCAGCCACCAGCAAGCUUUGCGAGAUGGCUUCUGAGUAACUAUGAUUCUGGAAAAAGUGCUUGUGACUCACUGAGUGUGUAACUCAAUAUUUCCUGACUGUAUGGAAUAAACUUUAUGUUCUAAUAGGAGAUAUGGGCAGCUGAAACUCAGAAUUUCUUCCUGACAAGAAAUUCAGCCACCAUCAGUGGUUCAUGAUGAACAGGGAUGGAGUGAUGCAAUCUCUAAUGAGUACUUAUUUUCUG
ensembl:lncRNA